AGGUGUAUACUAAUGUAGUUUCCAAUUGGAACACGGUCCAGUAGGGCAGGUUUGUGGAGUGAAGGAGAGACCAACUGAUCUUCAAGUACAUUUGGCCAUCCUUGGUUAGCUGCAACAGGCCAAGCAAGCAGUCUGGGGACAUUUCAAAAGAGGAAGGGGUGGAGGGUGUGUGGCCAGCCAUUUCCUGGAACAAGUAGGGGCUGGUGGAAUUCUUUUUUGCAGUCAAACUGUCAUCCUGGUUACUGGGGAGCAGAGGAGCUGUGUGGCUGCCAUGGCCGCAUACAAACAGUGAAGUUUCUCAUUUGAUCACCGAAUUUUAAAUCAGUACAAUUUUGUUAGAGUUGGAAGUUAUCUUACAAGUUCACUCAGUCACUCUGACCUACUAUGCACUCCCCAAAUUCCACCCCAAAUCCACUCAACAAUUGGAAAAACUCAUUAACAGGGUAGAUCAGUGUCUAACCCAUAGCAAAGUUCAGAAGCAGACUUAGUUCUCCUGAAUCUCAGGACUGUAAAUAUAACCACCAUGUUUCUCAAAAAUUAAACAAAAAGGAAGGAAAAGGAAAAGAAAGUCAGUGUCAACAUGAACCAGUUCCAGCUGGGCCUGUGGUGCUCCUGUUUCUUUAUUAUUUUUAAUAUACAUUUUUAAUUUGGCUGCAUUGGGUCUUCGUGGCAGCACGUGGAUCUGAGGAGCACUGGGCUCUCUAGUUGUGGUGGUUGGGCUUCAGAGUGCUGGGCUCAGUUGCUCUGAGGCAUGUGGCUCCCCAACCAGGGAUUCAACCUGUGUCCCCUGCACUGCAAGGUGGAUUCGUAACCACUGGAUCACCAGGCAAGACCCAACUCUUGCUUCUUUAGUGAGAGAUCCAGGAUGCUGUUCUGGGGCUCAGAGGGAGCCAGCACUGGGGGAAGGGUGAUACGUCUCUGGUUCAGUCCGGUCAAUUCUCCACAGAUCUACUUACAACCAAGGAACAUAAGAGCAAAGAGGGUGAGCGGGAGGGUGUCUGGAAAAAGAAAGUGCUCACGUUUUAAGGAGACCAUGGAAGUGAUGGCCCAUAUUCUGCCGUGCGACAUGGGUAGGGUUUGUUUUUGGUGUGUGGGAAGCUUAUACAACUUGGCAACACCAACUGAAUGUCAUAUAAUAAUCUCUUUGGAGCCUACAGCCCUCCUUCCACUAUUUUAUCCUAUAGAAUCAAGGUAUUUAGGGAAGAAAAAAAUUACAUGUUUAAAGACAUAUUGACUUUUUAAUAAAUGCAAAACAUUGGAAACACCUGAAGUACCGUACCACAGCAGGAUGCCAGCAAACGUGGUGGAAGCCUUCCAAGUCGCUUUCCUCCCUCCCGUUACUGCGUGUUCCACCUGCCCAUCCACCCCCAUCCCUUUCUCGGUUGUCUCCACCGUCCAUUCUCUUUAAGCCACUUCACAAUGAUUGACCUUGAGGGAAACUGACAGUGAAGAUGACUCUUGUGCAGAGAAAUGCAGAUUGCAUCCAGUGGAAUUUAACUGAUGGUGAAUUAGUUCUGUGGAUACUGGCCAAUUCUGUUGGUUUUGUAUCUAUUAAAGAAAUUCAUUUCAGGAUUCCUACUUGGCUUAUUACUAAAACAUCUUACUGGGUCUCCAAUUAAUUAACAACUACAACCUUUAACAUGUUCAUUUUGUACUUGAGUCACGAUUGUACUUUCCAAUACAGUUUAUCCUUUAACAAAAUGGUUAAGGGAAAUUCCCUGGCAGACCCGUGAUUAGAACUCAGCAAUUUCACUGCCAGGGCCCAGGUUUGAUCCCUGGUCAAUCGGGAAACUAAGAUCUCACAAGCUGUGUGGCGUGGCCAAAAAACAAAAAACAAAAA
ensembl:lncRNA